UCUGUGCUCGCCGUGUAGCCGGGGCAGUCAACCUGCUGUGUUCCGUGGCUGCGUGUGUGUGUGUGUCCGUGUGCACGCGGCAGCGUGUGUCGCCACCUCCAUCCUCGCCUCCGCCGCCGCCGUGACCCGAGUCUCGCGGCGCCCUUCCUCCUCUCCUCCGCCAACAUGUUCCGAAACCCGUGGAUCUCUAGUUACCAUGUGAACCACGAGCCGCCGCAUGGCCAAGAGUUUGGAUCUAAAGCUCGGACCAAGCUUUGCAGCUCGGCCUCAUUGCCAACGGAAGCAUUAAGUUUCCAGAGUGACUUCUCCCUGAGCGACAACACCACCCUGGUCAAGAGUGUUUCGGAUCCAGAUGCCAAGCUCCUGGCCGUCCUUCCCAAGGUCUCAGAGUUGAAGAAACACUUUGAGGGAGCCGUCACUCAGGAUUCGGGAAUGAACAGGAAGGAGAGAGUCGCCCGCCGCAUGGAGGGGAUCGAAAGCGACGCCCCCCCCGCGCUAGUGCCCGGUGGCUUGGUAGCCAACAGGAUGCUGGAGGAGGAUCCUCCGCGGUACACCCGCGCCUCAGAUCCCUGCGAGCCUUGUGUGAUGGUGAGGCGCUACAGUCGAGAGGAGUUGGAGGCGCCCCAGAAGAAGCUUUCGUCUCACGACAGAUCGCCUCAGGUCAAAGGUGGCGGGGGCAGCGCCCGACAGGAGCCUCUCAUGGUGUAUGUUGACCCAGUAGCGUUAUCCACCUCCUCCUCCUCCUCCACCACGCCCAGUUCUGCCCCCACAAACCCCGCCAGCCUCAGCUCCAAGGCCGAGCGCAUUGCCCGCUACAAAGCCGAGCGCCGCCGCCAGCUGUCGGAGCGCUACGGCAUCCUCCUGGACCAGGAGCCGGACGCCGAUUACACGCCGCGCCACCGCCCUCGCCGCGACACGGACGCCUCCGACCGACAAGCGGCGCCCUGGCGGGAGGCGGAGAGGCAGGACGCUCAGGAGCCCAGAGCGCCGUAUCGCGCCGGAGUGGGCAGGGUUUACAUGAGGACUCACCCAGAUCCAGCGCCUGUUUCCACCUCCAGCCCCGCCCACUCGAACCAAGCCCCUCCCCCCGCGCAAGAAAGGCCCAGGAGAUUUUCCGAGCGGGAGCGAGCGAUGAACCGGGAGAACCAGCGGCGGGGUUCGGCUUCCAGGUCUCGAACGCAGGAGCCGCAGACGCCUCCGUCCCAACACCAGGACGCCGCCCAUCAGGAGCCAAGCCCCGCCCCCACCAGGGAUUACAGCAUCGCGGCGGUGCCCAGCUCGCCCCGCGCCGCCCGCCGGGCCUCGCUGCCCUCCCCCCGCUACGGCAUCUCCCCCGGGGAUCUGUUCAUAGAGCAGCAGGCCCAGAGCAUCCUCAGCAGACAGGGAAUCCGGGUAAGAGAACGAUUGUCCAGGGAUGAAAUUGUCCAGAGGCCCCCCGACCGGAGUCCAGACCGGCCCCAGGCCAACAGACCCCGCACUCAGGGGAGCUCUGCUCAGUGCGCCCCACAACAGGAGCAGAGGGGCGCUGCCGAUCCCCCGCCCAGCGCCGGCCGCCACUCUGGCCACGGCCAAGCGGCCACGGCCUACCCGCCGCCCGGCCCCACCGUCGACUCGUAUCUGGCCCUCCCUGCCCCAGUGGCCGCCGCCAAACGCCCCGCACCCCCCGAGGUGCAACCGCGGAGGAGAGUGAGCGCCGACCAGGUCCAUGCCGCCCACAGGGAGGCCCGGCAGGCCCCGAAGGAGGAGGCCCACACGGAGGGCCUGCUGAAGAGCAGGAAAGCCGUUCUGCCGUCAGAGAUCCGCCGAAGGGAACAGAGUGUGGAUGAUACUCACAGGGGCCGGCACGAAGACGUGGACUGGCAGAAAUACAGCUCGGAACGGAGGGCGACGGGUCGCGGCGAGGAGGACUGGGAUCGGGAGAGACCGAGGGAGAAGGAGAGGGGGAGAAACGUCGAGCGGAUCAGAGAAAGAGGGAGGGAGCGUCGUGACAGCCAAGAGGAGAGAGCGAUUCAACCUGUGCAGCCUUCCCACGGCGCGGCAGUCCAGCAGCCCAGGCAGCAUCAGCCCUCGGAGCCUCUGCACGGGCAAGAGGAGGCCCCAACGCAACAGCAGAGUGAACCCAGAAGGAGACAACAGGGUGCUCAAGUUCAACCGCAGGAGCCUCCAACGCAGCAUCAGUACGACCACGCGAGGCAGCCCCCAGCGCAGCAGCACCCUAAAAGACAGCGGGAGUGUGAGCUCCAAAGAGAAGAGCCUCCAAAUGAGCAGAAAGACUCCCGGAGAAAUCAACACGAGCAACAGGCAGAAGUUGAGCUUCAGAGGCGGCGGCCGGAGCCGUCAGGGAGCCAGAUGUCUGACUCGGCCGUCUAUCUCCAGAGGGGCUCCUCUUUGCCGCAGGCCCAGCCGGCGAGCGGGGGGCCCAAGCCCAAGAUGAGGACCCGCGCCAUGUCGGACAUCGGCAUUAGCCAGCAUUCCGCCAUGUAUCGCGUGGACAGAGCGACGGCCGGCAGGGAGGCGUCGAGGGCCGCCCCUCCCCCGGGGACGUCCAACGGGGAGGCGGGCUCCCUGGACACCAGGGUGUCAGUGGCACUGCUGCGGCACUCGUACCUGGAGAACGCCAACCGGAAACCUGAGUUAGAGGCCACCAAAGUGGACCUGUCCGCCGCGGGGGCGGAGCCGGCGGGCGGCAGCGAUCGGGACCGCGGCGCUCGCAAGCCUCGGCGCUACAUCACUCCGGGAGACAGCCGCAUGUCGGAGAGGUUUAGGACCCAGCCCAUCACGUCUGCAGAGCGGCUGGAGUCCGAUAGGUCUCGUCUGAGUCCGUCGAAGCUGCAGGAUCCUGAAGAUGAAGGAAAACUAGACGAUAGAGCCAAGAUGAGCGUGGCUGCCAAGAGGUCUCUCUUCAGGGAGCUGGAAAAGACAUCAGACGGAAGUAUUCCCAAACCACGCUCUCGGAACUCCGCGGUUGAGAGGCGCCUGAGGAGAGUUCAGGACCGCUCACACACUCAACCCGUCACCAACAGGGAGGUCGUCGAUGCCUCCAGUGACCCCGCCGCAUCGCCACAACCUCCGAGCAGCCACAGCAGCGCCCCUCGUGUCCCCAGCCCCACUGGAGCCAGCGCCAGUGUGACCAGCAUCAGCAUGCCGGCCUCCUCGCAGCCCGACUCGGCGGUCCAGGAUCAGGAGAAGGAGCCGGAGGAGCACCAGCCACCAGCUGCCAGCGCCGGGGCCGGGGCAGAGCGCCACCUGCUUUUCCCCGACGAGCCGGACAUCUCCGCCCUCCCCUUGGCUGAGAAGAUGGCCCUCUUCAACCGCCUCGCUCAGCCCGCGACGGGCACGGCCGCCGAGGGGGUCCGAGGAGACACCCGCCAACGCAGGGCCAACGCCCGCUUCCAGACUCAGCCCAUCACCCAGGGAGAGGUGCAGCGGGAAGCUGAGCCGCCGCUAACCUCCGCCUCGUCUAACGGGGACUCGCGGGCCAAUCAGGGACAGCGCGUAAGGCCCCUGAAAAUCGCAGGCGAGAUCAAACUGGAGCCCCUGUCGGCCUCCCUGAUCCGCUCCGUGGCAGCCGUCACCUCCCAAGCCACCGUCGCCACGGUGACCGCCGCGCCAGGCAGCGGCGGGGGCGGCGGCGCCGACGACAGCGGCCUCCGUCCGAGGAAGUCCACCGCCGUGCCCUGCAUCCCCGCCCAACAACAGGCUGCCGGCGCCUCGGGCAGCCACCAGGAGAGGGCGUUGAUGUAUUUCUCCAUGACCCAGAGCGGGGACCCGGGCCGCCCGGAGCCCGGGCUCGACUCCUCCCCCCUCCUCCCCGAGGGCCGGCAGAGAGCCGGGGCUCCUCGGGCUCCACCCUCCUCCUCCAGUCACAGGCAGCAGGGGGAGGCGGUGGAGGAGGGCUGGCGAGAGCGUCAGGGGGAGGAGGAGGAGGAGGAGGAGGUGAGGGGGAGACGGCAGGGAGGAGCCAGAGGAGAGAUCCAAGACGGCAGCACUAAGCGGAGGCUGCACUCCCCCGACAGGCACCGGGACAGCAGGCGGCAGCAUCCCCAGCACUCUGCCGAGCUCUCUUUGCAGGGGGGCGAGUCUCUGGAGCCUCUGGCCAGCCGGAGAGCCGCAGACGGACGCUCCCAGGAGAGUAGGGAGAGAGCAGAGGGAGGAGGAAGAGGAAGAGGAGGGUACCCGAAAGAGUCAGCUCACGCCGCCUCUGCACAGAAGCAGGAGAUCGUCGGCGGCCGGAGCCAGCCAGGCAUCUCAGACGUUCCGGAUCAUCCCGCACCGCUGAGGCCACCGACCGCCAGGGCCUCGUCCAGGACGGCGUCCCACGUUUCAACCAGCCUGCAGCCUCCUCAGACUCUCCCCAAACCCUUCACCCAGCAGCCUCCGCCCACGCCGCCCAAACCUCCGGCCGACAGUCAGCCCCCGCCCCCGACGUGCCCCAGACCGUCCCCUCAGUCCCCUCGGUCCCCGCCGACGCAGGCCAGACCUCAGGGAUUCAUCCAGCCUCUCCCCAAGCCCUACCUGCAGACGACCCCCCCGCCGCAGACUCCACCCAAACCCCAGUGCUUCCCCCGGGCCCUGGUCCAUCCCCAGUCCCUGGACCCCGACGAGGACUUCGGCAGGGACAGUGUCCAUUCUGGAGAUCUGCUGUCCCCCACCGAGUCCAUAGACCUCCCGUCCGACGGCAUGUCCGCCAAACAGAUGUCCAUCAAGGAGAGAGUGGCCCUGCUGAAGAAGAGUGGCGAGGAGGACUGGAGGAACAGGAUCAACAAGAAACAGGAAGUGGUCAAGGCGGCGUCCGCCGAGCAGCAGGCGCAGCCAUGGGAGCCGGAGCCCACCUGCGAGAAGACGGAGGAAGGGGUGGUCGUUCAAGAGCACUCCGCUGUGUGUGAGCAGCUGUGGGAGCCCGUCUUCUCCUCCACCUUUUCUCCUACUAUCUCCCUUGGCCAAAAGUGUCAGUACAUUGACCACCAUUGUCAGAAGAUGGGAGAGCAGAUCGAGGCGCAGAUGUCCAUCGAGGAGAGAAAACUGAUGAUCUCCGUGCGGGAGGACGCCUGGAGGACGAAGGGCAAAGGAGCAGCCAACGACUCCACGCAGUACACCGUGGCCGCUCGUAUGGUCAGGAAAGGCCUGGCGGCCUCCUCCUCCGUCAUCAGCCCCGUCCUGUCACCGGUCUGCACCAAACUCAAGAGCAGCAUGCCGGCUGUCAACAAGCCACAGGAAGAAAUUGAGGCGAGGUCAGAAAUGGAAUCGGACAAGAAACUGGACAAGUUGGAGAGCUUCCUGGGACGUCUGAAUAGCAAAGUGGCUGGUCUGCAGGAAACCACCCUAACAGUGACCGACAGGGCGGUGAAGGAAGUGAUGAAGCUGGAUGACGAAAUCUUCUCCAAGUUCUACAGACGCGUUGCCGAAUUCCCGCGCAUGCCCACCAGGAUCGAGAUCAGCGAGGAUUUCGACUCCAUCUUUGGUUCCCAGGGCCCGAAGCUGACGUCGGCCAUGGUGCAGCACAAGCGGUCGGUGCGUCCCUCCCGGAACGUCCGGGCGUCCAGGAACCCCGUGAAGAUGCUGGCGGCCAGAGAGGACAUCAGACACGAGUACACGGAGCAGAGGCUGAACGUGGCGCAGUUGGAGAGCAAGCGGAUGAAGGCGGAGAAGAGUCAGCUGAAUAAAUCCUCGGAGUAUUCCGAGGCUGCUCUGGCGGGUCUGGCCAGUAAAGAGAACUUCAGCAGCGUGAGUCUGCGCAGCGUCAACAUCUCCGAGCAGAUGUCCAACAACAGCGCCGUGCCGUACAAGAACCUCAUGCUGAUGCAGGUCAAAGGUCGUCGUCACGUUCAGACCCGAUUGGUGGAGCCCAGGGCGUCGUCGCUGAACAGCGGCGACUGCUUCCUGUUGGUCGCCCCGGAGCACUGCGUCGUCUGGCUGGGAGAGUUCUCCAACGUCAUCGAGAAGGCCAAGGCGAUGGACCUGGCCACCUUCAUCCAGACGAAGAAGGACAUGGGCUGCAGGGCCGAUCGGGUGCAGACCAUCGAGGAAGGGGUCGACCCGCAGGGUGCAGACGCUCAGCUGUUCUGGUCAAUCCUCGGCGGACAGACUGCUCACCAACCGGCCGGCCCGCCGGAGGAGGACGAGCGGUUUGAGAACGCCAUCGUGGAGACCAACUGCAUCUUCAGACUGCUGGACGACAAACUGGUUCCCGACGACGACGAGUGGGGGAAGGUGCCUCGCAGCUCUCUGCUGGCUUCCAAGGAGGUGCUGGUGUUUGACUUUGGCAGCGAGGUGUACGUGUGGCACGGUAAAGAAGUGACUCUGGCUCAGAGGAAAGUGGCCUUCCAGCUGGCCAAGCACCUUUGGAACGGGACAUUUGACUACACGUGCUGUGACAUCAACCCACUUGACCCCGGAGGAUGCAAUACACUCAUACCCAGGAAGGGCCAGGGCCGCCCUGACUGGGCCGUAUUCGGCAGGCUGACUCAGCACAACGAGACCGUCUUGUUCAAAGAAAAGUUCGUGGACUGGACGGACGCGAAGUCGCCGACGACGAAGGACGGCGGCGAGCUGGUACCCGAGCAGAAGGAGACACCGGGGCGAGAGUGCCGGCCCUACGACGCCGCCUUGAUGCUCCCCGUCCUCCAGUCGGCCAUCUGCACCAUCCUGGACGGGUCGAAUGUCGGCCGCGGCCACGGCCCGGUGGAGACCGAGGACCACAUGAGGACCCAGGAGAUCAGCACGGCCUCCGUGGACGUCUGGCACAUCCUGGAGUUCGACUACAGCCGCCUGCCGCGCCAGAGCAUCGGCCAUUUCCACGAGGGGGACGCCUACGUGGUCAAGUGGAAGUACACGGUCAACACCUCAGUUGGUCGUCGGCAGAACCCCGAGGCGAGGAGCAGCGGGCCGGGGAAGGAGAGAUGCUGCUACUUCUUCUGGCAGGGUCGACACUCCACCGUGAGCGAGAAAGGGACGUCGGCGCUGAUGACGGUGGAGCUGGACGAGGAACGAGGGGCGCAGGUCCAGGUGCAGCAGGGAAAAGAGCCUCCGUGUUUCCUGCAGUGCUUCAACGGGGGGAUGAUCGUCCACGCCGGCAAGAGGGAGGAGGAGGAGGAGAACACUCAGAGUGAGUGGCGUCUGUAUUGCGUGCGGGGCGAGGUGCCGGUGGAGGGCCACCUGCUGGAGGUGGCGUGUCACUGCAGCAGCCUGCGCUCCAGAGCCUCCAUGAUCCUGCUCAACAUCAACAAGGCCGUCAUCUACCUGUGGCACGGAUGCAAGACGCAGCUGCACACCCGCGGGGUGGGGAGCGCCGCCGCGCUCGAGAUCAAACAACAGUGUCCUUUGGAGGCGGGUCUCCAUAGCAGCAGCAAGGUGACCAUCCAUGAGUGCGAUGAGGGGGCGGAGCCUCCGGGCUUCUGGGAGGCUCUGGGGAGGAAAGACAGGAAGGCCUACGACUGCAUGCUGCAAGAUCCAGGAAACUUCCAUUUCACCCCCCGGCUCUUCCAGCUGAGCAGCACAUCUGGAGACUUUGUGGCGAGUGAGUUCUUCCACCCGUCCAGAGCCCCGGGCCUGGUCAGCUCGCUGCCCUUCCUGCAGGAGGACCUGUACAACGCCCCACAGCAACCCGCGCUGUUCCUGGUGGAUAACUUCCACGAGGUGUACCUGUGGCAGGGCUGGUGGCCUCAGGAGGGCGAGAGCACCGGCUCGGCCCGCAUCCGCUGGGAUUCGGACAGAAAGUGCGCGAUGGAGACGGUGCUGCAGUACUGCAAAGAGAGGAACGAGAAGAAGCCUCAGAAGUCGUACCUGAUCCACGCCGGUCUGGAGCCGCUCACCUUCACCAACAUGUUCCCCAGCUGGGAGCACAGAGAGGACGUGGCCGAGAUCACCGAGAGGGAGGCGGAGGUGUGUAACCAGAUCAUCCUGGUGGAGGACGUGUUGGCCCGGCUCUGUCAGAACACCUUCCCUCUGGCUCGGCUGCAGGCGCGGCCGCUCCCAGAGGGCGUGGACCCGCUGCGCCUGGAGCUCUACCUGUCCGACCAGGACUUUGAGGUCAAAUACACAGAAGAUGUGCAAAUGAAAAGACAGCACAAACCUCCCGAGGGCCCUUAGGAGAGAGAGGAAAGGGCAAAGGGCAAAGUUCUGCUGUGUGUUGAUAGCGAUUGAAACAGACCCUUCGGAGGUGGAGCUUCCCUCUACGUCUACAACUCCUGGUUGAGGUCAUGCGUCCUAACGCUUCUAACUCUCAUUUCACAGAGCAAGUCGUAGGUGGAUUCAGGAAGCUCUGGAGAUGACGAGAGAGGAAUACGAAGGUCUACCAGGGUGGAAGCAAGUGAACCUAAAGAAGGCCAAAGGACUGUUUUGAGGAAGUUUUUAAAUCGAAGAUGGAAGCGGAAGAAAUAAAUAAAUAAAGUGCAGCUGAGAUGGAGACGCAGGAAGCCGGUUUUUAUUGACAUCGGGACGGAGGGACGGAUGAGGCCUCGCUUAUACUCCCCUUUUACCUUUCAACUUCCCCCCCGACCCCCGGGGGGGGGGGAGAGGAGGUGAGGGCGCACACACACCUGGUGCUCACCUGUCCACGAGUCUCCGCCCGGCACCAAAGACUCACGGAUGAGGAGGUGCACACGGGGGACGAGCUGGUGCCCCGCUUUGGUCGCGUGUUAAUGUGUGUCUGUGUGUGUGCGCGAUUGUAUAUAAUGUUUGUGUGAAUUGUCGAUGUAAAAAGUGCGCGUGUCCGUGUAAAAAAAAAACGUGUCGCGUCCCGUGUUGUGAGGAGAGCUUUCCUUGGUUUUAGUGGUUGUGGUCUACAGUGUCUACCGUGAGCAGCUGAAGUGACCCUCGGCUUGAAGGAGUUGUAAUUUAAAAUAAAAAAAGAAGGUUUGACUUGUCGGAGACAGAGAAGCAGCAGCUCUGAAUGUAUAGUGCCUUGCGUUUUGUGUACAGUUUAUAUACAGAAAAUAUAGUCUGCCAUUUUUAAAGACUUUCUUUGUGAUAUAUAAGACAAAGUGAAUUAAAUCACGAUAAUGCUCAACUCGA